rnacentral:rRNA from 1 species
AGGUCUUGGGGGCAUGCUUAACACGCAAGUCGAACGGCAGCGGGUCCUUCGGGACGCCGGCGAGUGGCGAACGGGUGAGUAAUGCAUCGGAACGUACCCAGUAGUGGGGGAUAACUUACCGAAAGGUAAGCUAAUACCGCAUACGCACUGAGGUGGAAAGCAGGGGACCGCAAGGCCUUGCGCUAUUGGAGCGGCCGAUGUCGGAUUAGCUAGUUGGUGGGGUAAAGGCCUACCAAGGCGACGAUCCGUAGCGGGUCUGAGAGGAUGAUCCGCCACACUGGAACUGAGACACGGUCCAGACUCCUACGGGAGGCAGCAGUGGGGAAUUUUGGACAAUGGGCGCAAGCCUGAUCCAGCCAUGCCGCGUGAGUGAAGAAGGCCUUCGGGUUGUAAAGCUCUUUCGGCCGGGAAGAAAUCGUGGUGGCGAAUACCUGCCAUGGAUGACGGUACCGGACUAAGAAGCACCGGCUAACUACGUGCCAGCAGCCGCGGUAAUACGUAGGGUGCGAGCGUUAAUCGGAAUUACUGGGCGUAAAGCGUGCGCAGGCGGUUGUGUAAGACAGGCGUGAAAUCCCCGGGCUCAACCUGGGAACUGCGCUUGUGACUGCACGGCUAGAGUACGGCAGAGGGGGGUGGAAUUCCACGUGUAGCAGUGAAAUGCGUAGAGAUGUGGAGGAACACCGAUGGCGAAGGCAGCCCCCUGGGUCGAUACUGACGCUCAUGCACGAAAGCGUGGGGAGCAAACAGGAUUGGAUACCCUGGUAGUCCACGCCCUAAACGAUGUCGACUAGUUGUUGGAGGGGUAAAACCCUUUAGUAACGUAGCUAACGCGUGAAGUCGACCGCCUGGGGAGUACGGGCCGCAAGGUUAAAACUCAAAGGAAUUGACGGGGACCCGCACAAGCGGUGGAUGAUGUGGAUUAAUUCGAUGCAACGCGAAAACCUUACCUACCCUUGACAUGCCAGGACUGCCAGAGAUGCUGUGCCCGCAAGGGAACUGACACAGUGCUGCAUGCUGUCGUCAGCUCG